GAUGAACGCUAGCGGCAGGCCUAACACAUGCAAGUCGAGGGGUAUAAAAGAGCUUGCUUUUUUAGAGACCGGCAAACGGGUGCGGAACACGUACGCAAUCUGCCCUUAUCACGGGGAUAGCCCAGAGAAAUUUGGAUUAAUACCCGAUAGUAUUAUAAUAAGGCAUCUUGUUGUAAUUAAAGCUAUGGCGGAUAAGGAUGAGCGUGCGCAAGAUUAGCUAGUUGGUGAGGUAACGGCUCACCAAGGCGACGAUCUUUAGCUGAUGUGAGAGCAUGAUCAGCCACACGGGCACUGAGACACGGGCCCGACUCCUACGGGAGGCAGCAGUGAGGAAUAUUGGUCAAUGGACGAAGUCUGAACCAGCCGAUGCCGCGUGAAGGAUGAAGGCGUUACUGCGUUGUAAACUUCUUUU
rnacentral:rRNA from 1 species